UAACGCCCGAACAAAUAGCCAAUCGCCAAAACCAAGGAUAAAACAAAAAAAUGGCGGUCUGCUCUUCCUCGCUCCCAGUUCUCUCUGCCGUUUCAACCCCAAAACUCAGCUCCGAUUCAUUUAUUAGGACUGGGAUUAGGGUUUUGAACCUCAACACCCAAGUUCCCUUGCCCUCCAGUUUUUACCGGAACCUGGGGAAGAAUCGCAGGUCUACGAAGUUAAACCGUGCUGGACUGUCCGAGAUCGAGCCCGAUCUCAACGAAGAUCCCGUUGACCGUUGGGGCAUAAACAGUGUUGACCCUGAUGAUUUCAAGUACGGGGAGUACGAUGGACACCACACGUAUCACGAAGGCGAAGAGAAAGGAACCUUUUGGGGAGCCAUAGCAGAAGAUAUUGCGGCAGUAGAACCUCCUACUGGUUUUCAGGGGUUAAUUUCAUGGCUCUUCCUCCCGGCAAUUGCCACUGGGAUGUUCAUGCAUGUUCCGAUGGUUUACUUGUUCAUCGGAACAGGCUUGUUUGUGACAGUAUUUACCAUAAUUGAGAUGGAUAAGCCAGACAAACCUCACAACUUUGAACCUCAAAUAUACAAUAUGGAUAGGGGAUCUCGUGAUAAGUUGAUAGCUGACUACAAUACCAUGAGCAUAUGGGAUUUCAAUGAGAAAUAUGGGGACCUCUGGGAUUUCACUGUGAAAAAGGACGAUAUAACAAAGAGAUAAUAUCUCCUUAGCAUAUUGCAUUGUCACGAGAAUUCAUAAUCAAGAUGAGAAUGGAGAUUAAAAGUGGUGGAUGGAUGGAUGAUGGUGGUGGAAUGGCUAUUGCAGAGGUGGUACUUUUUUUUUUUAUAAUUAAUAGAAAAUUAAAUUAAUAAAAUUUGCGAAAGGCAUAUUGCAGAGAUGGAACAUAGCAGCAAUGAUAUAAUUGGAGGUCUCUGGGGCAAAUUUCAUUCGCCAGCUGGGAGAGAGAGGAGGGAGGGAUGCGGGAUGGUUAUUUAUUAGGAUAUUUGAAUUUCGCAGUUUCUAAUGUGCUAUGGAUUAUUACUUAUCAGUUGAGUAGCUGUACGAGCCACGAGGAGUGCUCUGUGAGCUGACUUCGUUAUUCUAUCUUUACCAACUUAUACCGUGUCUUCUGAAUUCUGCUAUUUGUCAUAUUUUGACAGUAUUUGUCGUGGAUGUUCAUCUUCAUUUCA